GAAGCUGACCAGACAGUCGCCGCUUCGUCGUCGUCCUUUCGGGGAGACGGGCGGAGGGGAGGAAAGUCCGGGCUCCAUAGGGCAGGGUGCCAGGUAACGCCUGGGGGGGAAACCCACGACCAGUGCAACAGAGAGCAAACCGCCGAUGGCCCACGUAAGUGGGAUCAGGUAAGGGUGAAAGGGUGCGGUAAGAGCGCACCGCGCGGCUGGUAACAGUCCGUGGCACGGUAAACUCCACCCGGAGCAAGGCCAAAUAGGGGUUCAUAAGGUACGGCCCGUACUGAACCCGGGUAGGCUGCUUGAGCCAGUGAGCGAUCGCUGGCCUAGAUGAAUGACUGUCCACGACAGAACCCGGCUUAUCGGUCAGUUUCACCU
rnacentral:RNase_P_RNA from 4 species